AAUGUGUUAAGAGGGUCGGUCCAGCUUUAAGAACUAUGGUAAAUUUUUAGCACACCAUUUUCUUUGCUCUGUCUGAAAAUCAAAAGUAUCCAAUAUGAGACUUGCAAUGAAGAAGGGGGAUGCUUUGAACCUGUAUUAGGGUAUUAUGGGUGAGAAUUUAGAACUGAAUAGCAGCAAUGGAUACAGAACAGAGCACACAUCCAGGAGGAUUGCUUACUGAUCUAAAGGUUUUUCUGAAGCAUAUAAAGAGCAGCUGAGGACAGAUAUUUUUCUCGUUACUUGUGAAGAUGUAUAUUAUUCAAAAACACAAGAGAAAAAUCAAAGAAAGAGGAACAUACAUUUCUCUUUUCUUGUACAGAACCAUCACUACUAUGUCAUAGUGCCAGAGACAGCUUGGCAAGUCAUAGGCUAGAAAUGGAAACUCAAAAUGCCUUUUUAGAAACAAGUGUUUUGAAUGAUUCUUCCAUUUUCUGUAAUUGUCACUGGAACUGGAUGAUACUGAGUUGGAGUAGAUUUUCCUUUGGACUGCUAUAAAUGAACAAUCAACACAUGUGCAGGAUAAAGACUUUGCUGACCCACUCCCUGUGCAACUGUUAGAGAAAGACAUAAGUUCUGGUUUGCAAACGGAUUUAAAAGGCACUGGCCCAUGGGUAAUCCUGAUGGAGCACAUUUGUUUUCUGUGCAGAUCCUCUCACCUGUAUAGUUACUAAGCUGGGUACCACUGCCACACGACCACACAUCUGUCUCAGGGUAGGACAGCCUGACCUUCUCCAGGGUAUGCAUCCUGAACAUGAAGCAUAAAGAGUUUGGAGAGUUUUAUCACUUGAAAGAAGAGAACAGAAUCAAUUCCUAAAUAAGGCAAUAAAGACUGUAAUGUUUUCUUUUUAAUUACCUGUCAGAUUUUCUCUUCAGGAUACUGCUUAAAUUACAAAGGAGAGUGUUUGA
rnacentral:sRNA from 1 species